rnacentral:rRNA from 1 species
CUGGAGGUAUCAGAAGUGCGAAUGCUGACAUAAGUAACGAUAAAGCGGGUGAAAAGCCCGCUCGCCGGAAGACCAAGGGUUCCUGUCCAACGUUAAUCGGGGCAGGGUGAGUCGACCCCUAAGGCGAGGCCGAAAGGCGUAGUCGAUGGGAAACGGGUUAAUAUUCCCGUACUUGGUGUUACUGCGAAGGGGGGACGGAGAAGGCUAUGUUGGCCGGGCGACGGUUGUCCCGGUUUAAGCGUGUAGGCUGACUUUCCAGGCAAAUCCGGAGAGUCAAGGCUGAGGCGUGAUGACGAGGCAC